CCACUUCCGACAAUGGCCACUCGACCCCGUAAUACUACCAUUUCAGGUCGUCAGCUCCAGUUAGACCAACAGCUUCUUCCUGUCCCCGAUCGCAGGGAGCAGGGAGCAGGGAGCAGGGAGCAGGGCAUCGUCAUCACCGCCCUCAUCCGAGCGACGACGAGAUCGAUUGGCUCUCCAUGGACUCUGUGACACCCAAGACAGAGGCUACAAAAGAACAGACUGUAGAAUUACUGAUAGCAAUCUCCCAAUCCGUUCCAAGAAUGAACCUCACAUCAAAUCCGUCACCUAUGAACUCAACCAUUGUUAUCAUGGCCCGUGAAAAGGAAAAUGAAGAUGCUGAGAAAUACAGAUCUAAGCUGAUCUCUAUCUCCUAUACACAGUCUCCUGAUGUUCAACGACCACCAUCUUUAGAAAAUUGUGGCAGUUAAAUGGGAAGUUGCAAUGACCUAAGGGCAUCUGAAUUUCUGUGUCUUGUAAUCUAUGCUGCUUGUUUACUUGCCACUAUCAAUAGGAUAAACUUGUUGUCAAGAUCUGCCAUGAUGUUCAAAGUAAUUUAAGAAGAAACUUGGAUAUGCCAGCUAUGAAGUGACUCCUUUUGGAAACACUGUUAUACUGUCCUCGUAGCUCAUCACUUGCAAGUUAAUCUGAUCGCAAGACCAGGAUUUAAUCCUCGUUUUUCUUGCA